CCAGCUCCAGCCCGUGAAGAUUCACAACUAUCUGAGAUUUGCCUUCUGCAUAACGACAUCUAAAGAUGCAAGACCAUAUGUGGUGCAUGAUUAGGAAUCCUGAACUUGAUUGAACCUGUAUGGGUGGUUAUAUGGCCAUGAUUAGGAAACCUGAACUUGUCUGAGUGUCAAGUGUCAGUAGCAUGUUUUACACCACUAUCUAAUGACUGCCUGGGGAGCAAGCGUCGAAUCCCUUCUUGAACAUGUUAACUGUAAUGUCAUCUUGUUGUGCUUUAUGUCGAACUUCGGUCUGGCGGGCGGCAUUGAUUGAGUGAAAAUAUAGACAAGUAAUUUGGGAUGGAGUUAAUAUUUGUCAAAGAUAUGAUGAGAAUUAGGCAACCUACACACUGUGGAUA
rnacentral:lncRNA from 1 species